AUAAAAGAAGGAUCCAGUGGGGUAUGGAAGGGCUCUACCUGGUCCAGGGAAUGCAUUGGUGAGGGCAGAAGUCUGUUUCAAUGGCAGCAGGAGGUGGGAGACUGUCCCAGUCUCUGUGGCAUCUGAAGCCUCACCUUUGGAUAUCCUGGUCACUCUUCAAUACCACUGAUGAAUUGCCCACCUGGAGAAGUAUUCAAAAAGCAAAGGAAGAAGAUUGAAGGAGCUCUUGCCUUGAGGAACUUGACAGCCCAGCAGGGGAGAAGACCCACCCAUUCCCAUACUAAAAGGAAGAGUUUCUAUAGGAACCUGAAGAGGGAUCUCCAGAAACACAAAGAUUGCCAAAAAUCCAACAGUUUGAAAAUAGCUUGCAGGACCUUCUGAUGCAUCUUAAAAAGAGUAAAUGGCUAGAUGGUCAUGUAACACAGUUUUGGUCAAUGAAAUAUGAGAUCUACUGGAUUGUCCUUCCUUUUUUCAACCAUCUUGAAUGAGAGCAAGAGCAACAGCAGCCCUUUGCAGCCAUGAGAUGAUAAACAUAACAGAAAGGACAUGAGAAUCACAGAGAUGGUGGUCCCUACAUCUUUAAGCCAACGCACCACAUGCCUCCAGACUUCUUGUUAUGAAGAUACGUGUCCCAGCUGCCUCAGCCUCACAAAGGAAUUGUGGCACCUUGCUAUCUCCAUUUUCCUGGUGACGAAAUUAAGGGCAAGAACGAAAA